AAAUAAGAAGCAAAAUUUGCAUUUAGUUUCGACCUAAAAAUUGAUUUUUAUUAAUCCUUAUUUA
rnacentral:tRNA from 1 species